AAGUCGUAACAAGGUUUCCGUAGGUGAACCUGCGGAAGGAUCAUUAAAAGAGUAGGGUCCUCACGGGCCCGACCUCCUACCCUUUGUUGUUAAAACACUUUGUUGCUUUGGCGGGACCGCCGGCGUAAAACACCGGCUGCCGGUCUUCGGCCCGGCAUGCGCCCGCCAGAGGCCUACCAAACUCUCGUUAUAAACUGUCGUCUGAGAAAAUUGAUAAAUCAAUUAAAA
rnacentral:misc_RNA from 1 species